rnacentral:lncRNA from 1 species
UUUAUCUCCCCAAAAAGGGCAUUAUUUUGAAUUAGAUUCGGUUGUGCAUUUGUGUGAUCACUAACAGAGAUUUUUGUUGUGUUUAUUGCUAGCUUUUCUGUAAAUUUUAAAUGAAAUCAACUUAAAUUAUAAUCUCAGAAUUAAGUGUUAAAUAAUAUACUAAUUGUGUAAUUUCUACAGAAGGAGAGGUUUAAGUAUUUAAUAAAUAAAAAAAAAUGGUAUAACCUUUCCCAGGAUAUCAUUGCCAAAGCUUAAACUUAUUUUUAGAAAAUUGAUGAUUUUGUAUGAGUUAUUUCCCUUUCUUGGUGGUAAAAAUUUUUGUAUGUUUGUAAUUAUGUAAUAGUUUCAUGAAGUAUAUGCAGUCAAUAUAGAUUGUUUUACAUGAUAUUUAAGAAUAGAAAUCUAUUGAAUUUAUUGUUUUAAAAUGUGUGUAAUUUCAAGUUGUACAGGGUUUUAUAUAAAAUAUGUAGGAACAAAUAUGACUCAUAAACAUGUUAAUGGGCCUUAUCAAAAUUUCCUGGUUAAUAGUUUAUAUUGUAUUGCAUUGAUAAUAAUGACUUAUUUUUUGUGUCAGUUUAAUAGGAUGCUUUCAUUGCAUACAAAUUAUGUAUUCAAAAAAAAAUGUCUAACUGUGGAUUGAGUGUUUAUAUGAUGUUCAACUGAUAACCAUGAUUGCCUUUUGUUACCAAGUAUUAAGGGAUUCAAAUUGGGGCAAGACAAAAAAUGUCUGUCUGGCUCAAAUAUUUUUUCGAAGCCCUGGCCUGAAGACAAGUUUUAUUUUAUUGAACAUUUGAAUUAGGAGUUAAUCUUUAUAUAUAAAAUUUAAGAAAAUUGGUACCACACGAAUAAUAAUGAAUCCACAGUAUAAACAUACUGUCUUUUGGUAUGUAUAGUGCGCAUUUGUGUAUAAUGCGCACCCCUAUUGUGGUCCAAGAAACCAGAGAAAAGUUUAUUUGUGAUUUUUAGAUUUCAACAUUAGUUUUUAACUAUCAAAGUUACAGUAUAUACUUUUUCAUUAUAUUUUAUGAUAAUUAUUAUUUUGUUUUCUGUUCAAAUGAAAAAAGGAGCUUAGUUAAUACUCAACCAGUUUGCGAUUGUAAAAUAUAAGUUGUAUAUAGAACAAAAUUUUGUAAUAAAAAAAUAGUACAAAAAUUAUUUUAUUUGUAAACUGAACAAAUUGAAUUGUGAUUCAUUGUAUAAAUGCAUGCAUUAAUGACCUGAUCUGAGAACUAAAAAACAAAACAAAUGAUUGUACAGUGGAACCAGUGUACACAGUGAAACCUGUCUUAAAUGAAUUGAUGUUCUUUAGGGAGUUUUAAUUUACACUGUUUCCCGAGGGGGUUACUUCCUAUAUUUUUAGUGGUAUGAGUGUGCCGCAAAACAGGGUCCCUUUUUCAUGCCCUGCUGGUUAGAACAGGGUUGCUUUUUUCAUGCCCUGUAUUUGUCUAGAACAUGAUCACUUAUUUAACUGUUUAUAGGAGCAAAAAGAGUUGAUCAGAAAUCUGUUGUUUUGCUUUAUUCUUAAUCCUUGGUCAAUUGUAGUAAAAAAAAUGUGUCUAAAACAGGGUAUACAUUUUCUGAGCGGGUCUAGAACAGGGUAUGUUUUUCAACAUUUCUGUUUAGAACAGGGUAUGUUUUUCAAUGUUUACUGGUUAGAACAGGGUAUGAUUUGGCAAGUGCUGUCGGCACAGUUAUACCCAAAAGGAUAGUCAGUAGACCCCCCAGGCACUGUUUCCACUAAAUGCCUAUCUCAAAU